GACGAACGCUGGCGGCGUGCCUAAUACAUGCAAGUAGAACGCUGAAGGAGGAGCUUGCUCUUCUUGGAUGAGUUGCGAACGGGUGAGUAACGCGUAGGUAACCUGCCUGGUAGCGGGGGAUAACUAUUGGAAACGAUAGCUAAUACCGCAUAAUAGUAGAUGUUGCAUGACAUUUGCUUAAAAGGUGCAAUUGCAUCACUACCAGAUGGACCUGCGUUGUAUUAGCUAGUUGGUGAGGUAACGGCUCACCAAGGCAACGAUACAUAGCCGACCUGAGAGGGUGAUCGGCCACACUGGGACUGAGACACGGCCCAGACUCCUACGGGAGGCAGCAGUAGGGAAUCUUCGGCAAUGGACGGAAGUCUGACCGAGCAACGCCGCGUGAGUGAAGAAGGUUUUCGGAUCGUAAAGCUCUGUUGUAAGAGAAGAACGAGUGUGAGAGUGGAAAGUUCACACUGUGACGGUAUCUUACCAGAAAGGGUCGGCUAACUACGUG
rnacentral:rRNA from 1 species